rnacentral:miRNA from 1 species
GGUUUGGGCCCAACGAAUU